GAGGAAACCAGACGAACGUCUGUUUCAUACAGUUCUAAUCUGCAAAGGAAGAAGUUUGGAUUUCAGGAUCCUGGAGACACUUUACACCAACUCAUGUCUGUUCUACAGGGAGGUUUAGUUUCUGCACUUAUUUUCCUGCAGAGCGACUCUAAGCUGCGAGUCAAGGACUUUGAGAACCGCCUGCUGUAAACCUGAGAGAGAGAAAGCGGUGACACUGAGGAGUUAACUGCAGGAUUUGGCUUCGGUUACAUUCCCUCUCAGAGAAGCUGCGCAGGCGGCUUCAGGACUCAUUAACGAACUCGGAUCCAGAGUGAACGCCUCGUCAUGUGGAUCCCUCUUUAACCACGGCGCUCUGUGAUCCAGACGAUUAUGGCGAGGUCCACUGACUUCUGGCAAGUAUCUCUGUUUUCCAGUGUGGUAGUUUUUUUUCUUGGCUCAGGGUUUGGAUGCUUCU